GGUGGUGUAGCUCAGUGGUAGAGCACUUACUUAGAAUGAUAAUGCCCUUAGUUCAACUCCUAGCAAAACUC
rnacentral:tRNA from 1 species